rnacentral:rRNA from 1 species
UACGGAGGGGGCUAGCGUUGUUCGGAAUUACUGGGCGUAAAGCGCGCGCAGGCGGUUUUUCAAGUCAGUGGUGAAAGCCCGGAGCUCAACUCCGGAAAUGCCAUUGAAACUGUAAAACUUGAGGACGAGAGAGGUGAGUGGAAUUCCCAGUGUAGAGGUGAAAUUCGUAGAUAUUGGGAAGAACACCGGUGGCGAAGGCGGCUCACUGGCUCGUUUCUGACGCUCAGGCGCGAUAGCGUGGGGAGCAAACAGG